rnacentral:rRNA from 1 species
CAGUAGCCGCGGGAAUACGUAGGUCCCGAGCGUUGUCCGGAUUUAUUGGGCGUAAAGGGAGCGCAGGCGGUUUAGUAGGUCUGAAGUUAAAGGCAUUGGCUCAACCAAUGUAUGCUUUGGAAACUGUUAGACCUGAGUGCAGAAGGGGAGAGUGGAAUUCCAUGUGUAGCGGUGAAAUGCGUAGGUAUAUGGAGGAACACCGGUGGCGAAAGCGGCUCUCUGUCUGUCACUGACGCUGAGGCUCGAAAGCGUGGGUAGCGAACAGGAUUAGAUACCCGCGUAGUCCCUGUCUCUUAUACAC